GACGAACGCUGGCGGCGUGCCUAAUACAUGCAAGUAGGACGCACAGUUUAUACCGUAGCUUGCUACACCAUAAACUGUGAGUUGCGAACGGGUGAGUAACGCGUAGGUAACCUGCCUGGUAGCGGGGGAUAACUAUUGGAAACGAUAGCUAAUACCGCAUAAUAUUGAUUAUUGCAUGAUAAUUGAUUGAAAGAUGCUAUUGCAUCACUACCAGAUGGACCUGCGUUGUAUUAGCUAGUAGGUGAGGUAACGGCUCACCUAGGCGACGAUACAUAGCCGACCUGAGAGGGUGAUCGGCCACACUGGGACUGAGACACGGCCCAGACUCCUACGGGAGGCAGCAGUAGGGAAUCUUCGGCAAUGGACGAAAGUCUGACCGAGCAACGCCGCGUGAGUGAAGAAGGUUUUCGGAUCGUAAAGCUCUGUUGUAAGAGAAGAACGGGUGUGAGAGUGGAAAGUUCACACUGUGACGGGAUCUUACCAGAAAAGGACGGCUAACUACGU
rnacentral:rRNA from 1 species